rnacentral:rRNA from 1 species
AGAUUGAACGCUGGCGGCAUGCUUUACACAUGCAAGUCGAACGGUAACAGGCCGCAAGGUGCUGACGAGUGGCGAACGGGUGAGUAAUGCAUCGGAACGUGCCCAGUCGUGGGGGAUAACGCAGCGAAAGCUGUGCUAAUACCGCAUACGAUCUAUGGAUGAAAGCGGGGGACCGAAAGGCCUCGCGCGAUUGGAGCGGCCGAUGUCAGAUUAGCUAGUUGGUGGGGUAAAGGCCCACCAAGGCGACGAUCUGUAGCUGGUCUGAGAGGACGACCAGCCACACUGGAACUGAGACACGUCAGACUCCUAGGGAGCAGCAGGUGGGAAUUUUGGACAAGUGGGCGCAAGGCCUGAUCCAGACAAUGCCGCGUAGCGAAGGAAGUAAGGCCUUAGGGUUCGUAAACGUGUACGUUUUACGUAACGGAACGGUAAACGGUUACGUUAGGUUAAAC